rnacentral:rRNA from 1 species
UUGCAUAUCAAUAAGCGGAGGAAAAGAAACUAACCAGGAUUCCCUCAGUAACUGCGAGUGAAGCGGGAAAAGCUCAGACUGAAAAUCUUCGGAAUUGUAGUCUGGAGAAGUAUGGUCAGCCGAUGAUGAUGAGUGAAGUCUUCUGGAAAGGAGCGCCUUGGAGGGUGAUAGCCCCGUUCAUACUUAUCAUUAGAAGCGU